UACGUAGGGUGCGAGCGUUGUCCGGAAUUAUUGGGCGUAAAGAGCUCGUAGGCGGCUUGUCGCGUCGGGAUGUGAAAGCCCGGGGCUUAACCCCGGGUCUGCAUUCGAUACGGGCAGGCUAGAGUUCGGUAGGGGAGAUCGGAAUUCCUGGUGGUAGCGGUGAAAUGACGCAGAUAUCAGGAGGAACACCGGUGGCGAAGGCGGAUCUCUGGGCCGAUACUGACGCUGAGGAGCGAAAGCGUGGGGAGCGAACAGG
rnacentral:rRNA from 1 species